GUGAAGCUAGCUCCGCCAUCGGUCGUUAGCGUUUUGGACGUUUGUUUUAGGGUUCAUGGGGAAAAUGAGUCCCGCUCCUCGGCGCUGAUUGGCUGAAACUUCCUCGAAGCGCGUAAUUUAUCGGCUUCCUAUGGAUCUUCUGCCAUAAACCGCUGUCAUCUAAAUGGGGGACAUGGAAGCGCGCUGUGCUCCCUGCUGGCUGUCAUCAUCAGCAGCAGCCGCCGCCGCAGCAGCAGCAGCGGCAGCAGCAUCCUUUCCUCUCCAGGAGACGUGAGAGGAGGAAACGCGCAUCUCACGACCUGAAUUCACGCACGGGCGCGUCGCCAUCUACAGGACAAUCUUUAAACGGGAAGUUUUCACGGAAAAGGCUUGAGUUUUAUCAAAAGCUAUGUCAUGGUGUGAAACAGACGCUUCACACACACCGUCCUCACCGAGUAGAAUGUAGGCGCAACUCCGCUAACCUGCAUGUACUUGUGAAUGAAUAAAGAACGCAGUGUAGAUAACA